ACAUUCCGUGGCCAGCUAGAUGGGAAUCCACGUCUCAGCCUUCCCAUGAUCCCGCGUCCGCUCCGAAGAAGAGAUCCCACAUCUGUUCUGAAGAGAUGAUCACGCGCACGAUCCCAGGCGCCCGUUCCUCCUCCUCUCCAUACGCAAUCAAGGCUGGCUUCAAGGUCUUCGGCGAUUUAUAAGAGGAGGACGGGAGGAGAAAGGAGGGAGCUCUUGGUGCGGGGUGGAGGCCAAGUAACAGGGGAGGUCGGCUGGUUCAAGAAGGAACAAGGGAGAGGGCUCGGUUUGGGAGAGAAAGAAAGCAAAAAAAAAAAAAAGAAAACAGAGCAGGCUCUAUUUUGUGAAAAGAAAGAAUAAAAAAUAGGAGGGAAAAGAGGAGUUUUCUUGUUUUUCUUCCUUUGUUUUUAUGUUUU
rnacentral:lncRNA from 1 species